rnacentral:rRNA from 1 species
AGCGAACGCUGGCGGCAGGCUUAACACAUGCAAGUCGAGCGGGCACCUUCGGGUGUCAGCGGCAGACGGGUGAGUAACACGUGGGAACGUACCCUUUGGUUCGGAACAACUCUGGGAAACUGGAGCUAAUACCGGAUACGCCCUUUUGGGGAAAGGUUUACCGCCGAAGGAUCGGCCCGCGUCUGACUAGCUAGUUGGUGAGGUAACGGCUCACCAAGGCGACGAUCAGUAGCUGGUCUGAGAGGAUGAUCAGCCACACUGGGACUGAGACACGGCCCAGACUCCUACGGGAGGCAGCAGUGGGGAAUAUUGGACAAUGGGCGCAAGCCUGAUCCAGCCAUGCCGCGUGAGUGAUGAAGGCCUUAGGGUUGUAAAGCUCUUUUGUCCGGGACGAUAAUGACGGUACCGAGAAUAAGCCCCGGCUAACUUCGUGCCAGCAGCCGCAGUAAC